rnacentral:tRNA from 1 species
UCCAUGAAGGUCCAGUGGUUAGGACUCUGCACUUCCAAUGCAGAGGCAUGGGUUCUAUCCCUGGUUGGGGAA